rnacentral:piRNA from 1 species
UCCAAAAUUAAUGUUGAAUAUUGUGAAAGA